GUCCUCGUGGCGUAACCUGGAUAGCGUAGAGGCUUCCUAAGCCUUUGGUAUGGGUUCAAAUCCCAUCGAGGACG
rnacentral:tRNA from 1 species